rnacentral:rRNA from 1 species
AGUAUGUCUGGGAACUGCCUGAUGGAGGGGGAUAACUACUGGAAACGGUAGCUAAUACCGCAUAACGUCGCAAGACCAAAGAGGGGGACCUUCGGGCCUCUUGCCAUCGGAUGUGCCCAGAUGGGAUUAGCUAGUAGGUGGGGUAACGGCUCACCUAGGCGACGAUCCCUAGCUGGUCUGAGAGGAUGACCAGCCACACUGGAACUGAGACACGGUCCAGACUCCUACGGGAGGCAGCAGUGGGGAAUAUUGCACAAUGGGCGCAAGCCUGAUGCAGCCAUGCCGCGUGUAUGAAGAAGGCCUUCGGGUUGUAAAGUACUUUCAGCGGGGAGGAAGGGAGUAAAGUUAAUACCUUUGCUCAUUGACGUUACCCGCAGAAGAAGCACCGGCUAACUCCGUGCCAGCAGCCGCGGUAAUACGGAGGGUGCAAGCGUUAAUCGGAAUUACUGGGCGUAAAGCGCACGCAGGCGGUUUGUUAAGUCAGAUGUGAAAUCA